rnacentral:rRNA from 1 species
UACGAAGGGGGCUAGCGUUGUUCGGAAUUACUGGGCGUAAAGCGCGUGUAGGCGGGUCUUUAAGUCAGGGGUGAAAUGCCAAGGCUCAACCUUGGAACUGCCUUUGAUACUGGAGACCUUGAGUCCGGGAGAGGUGAGUGGAAUUGCGAGUGUAGAGGUGAAAUUCGUAGAUAUUCGCAAGAACACCAAUGGCGAAGGCAGCUUGCUGGGCCAUAUCUGACGCUGAGACACGAAAGCGUGGGGAGCGAACAGG